CGCUGGCGGUAGGCCUAACACAUGCAAGUCGAACGGCAGCACAGUAAGAGCUUGCUCUUAUGGGUGGCGAGUGGCGGACGGGUGAGGAAUACAUCGGAAUCUACCUUUUCGUGGGGGAUAACGUAGGGAAACUUACGCUAAUACCGCAUACGACCUUCGGGUGAAAGCAGGGGACCUUCGGGCCUUGCGCGGAUAGAUGAGCCGAUGUCGGAUUAGCUAGUUGGCGGGGUAAAGGCCCACCAAGGCGACGAUCCGUAGCUGGUCUGAGAGGAUGAUCAGCCACACUGGAACUGAGACACGGUCCAGACUCCUACGGGAGGCAGCAGUGGGGAAUAUUGGACAAUGGGCGCAAGCCUGAUCCAGCCAUACCGCGUGGGUGAAGAAGGCCUUCGGGUUGUAAAGCCCUUUUGUUGGGAAAGAAAAGCAGCCAGUUAAUACCUGGUUGUUCUGACGGUACCCAAAGAAUAAGCACCGGCUAACUUCGUGCCAGCAGCCGCGGUAAUACGAAGGGUGCAAGCGUUACUCGGAAUUACUGGGCGUAAAGCGUGCGUAGGUGGUUGUUUAAGUCUGUUGUGAAAGCCCUGGGCUCAACCUGGGAAUUGCAGUGGAUACUGGGCGACUAGAGUGUG
rnacentral:rRNA from 2 species